rnacentral:rRNA from 1 species
UUAAGCUACAAAGGGCGUAGGGUGAAUGCCUUGGCAUCAAGAGCCGAUGAAGGACGUGAUAAGCUGCGAUAAGCUAUGGGUAGGAGCAAAUAUCCACUAAUCCAUAGAUCUCCGAAUGAGGAAACUCAACUAGUAACAAUAUACUAGUUAUCCAUACAUGAGUAAAGUAGUGUAUGAGAAGGGAACGUGGGGAACUGAAACAUCUUAGUACCCACAGGAAAAGAAAGAAAUUAUUCGAUUCCUAGAGUAGUGGCGAGCGAAAUAGGAAGAGCCCAAACUGUAAGUAGUAAUACAUACAGGGUUCGGACUGCAUAAUCGAUUUAAUGAGUUUAGUAGAAGUGUUUUGGAAAAGCACACCAUAGAUGGUGAAAGUCCAGUAUGCGAAAAGCGAGUUAACGAGGCAGUAUCCAGAGUAGCACGAGGCACGUGGAAUCUCGUGUGAAUGUGUGGGGACCAUCCCAUAAGGCUAAAUACUACUUGAUGACCGAUAGUGAACGAGUACCGUGAGGGAAAGGUGAAAAGAACCCCGGGAGGGGAGUGAAAUAGAAUUUGAAACCCUAUGUUUACAAGCAGACAAAGCACGUUAAGGUGCGAUGUCGUACUUUUUGUAGAACGGUCCAGCGAGUUAUUGUAUAUGGCAAGGUUAAAUACUAAGUAAGGUAUGGAGCCGAAGCGAAAGCGAGUGUCAAUAGCGCGUUUAAGUCAUAUGUAAUAGACCCGAAACCGAGUGACCUAUCCAUGGUCAGGAUGAAGCUAGAGUAAAAUCUAGUGGAGGUCCGAACUGAUUGUCGUUAAAAAGGCACCGGAUGAACUGUGGAUAGCGGAGAAAUUCCAAUCGAACUCGGAGAUAGCUGGUUCUCCUCGAAAUAGCUUUAGGGCUAGCCUUGAGGUAAAGACGUAUGGGGGUAGAGCACUGAAUGAGCUAGGGGCCUAACCAGGUUACUGAACUCUAUCAAACUACGAAUACCAUAUUGUUAUACUCAGGAGUCAGACUGCGGGAGCUAAGUUCCGUGGUCAAAAGGGAAAGAGCCCAGAUCGUCAAUUAAGGUCCCAAAGAUAUAGCUAAGUGGAAAACGAUGUGAUUUUGCGUAAACAACCAGGAUGUUGGCUCAGAAGCAGCCACUCAUUCAAAGAGUGCGUAACAGCUCACUGGUCGAGUGAAAUUGCGCGGAAAAUUACCGGGGCUAAGCUAUACACCGAAAUUGCGGAUUCAAGGAUUUAUCCUUGAGUGGUAGAGGAGCAUUCUGUUGUAGGUUGAAGUAUGACCGUAAGGACAUGUGGACGAAGCAGAAGAGAGAAUGCUGGAAUAAGUAGCGAGAGCAAGGUGAGAAUCCUUGCCGUCGAAAGUCUAAGGUUUCCUGGGGAAGGUUCGUCCGCCCAGGGUUAGUCGGGACCUAAGGAGAGGCCGAGAGGCGUAUCUGAUGGACAGCAGGUUGAUAUUCCUGCACUAUAGAUAUACUUAAAAGAUGCAAGGGACGCAGAAGUGGAAGGAAUGCGAGGAAGAGGAAAAACUCGUAUCGAAAGAUAUAGUGAAAAUAAAGUAACGAAUUUCCAAGAAGCACGCUGACGAGAAAAGCUUGUAGAUAUUGUAUAUAAAUACCCGUACCGCAAACCGACACAGGUAGAUGAGGAGAGGAUCCUAAGACGAGCGGGAGAAGCAUUGUUAAGGAACUCGGCAAAUUGACCCCGUAACUUCGGAAUAAGGGGUGCCUAUGUAAAAGUAGGCCGCAGAGAAUAGGCCCAAGCAACUGUUUAACAAAAACACAGGUUUCUGCUAAAUCGAAAGAUGAAGUAUAGGAGCUGACGCCUGCCCAGUGCUGGAAGGUUAAGGGGAAGAGUUAAGACUUGAUCUGAAGCUUAGAACCAAAGCCCCAGUGAACGGCGGCCGUAACUAUAACGGUCCUAAGGUAGCGAAAUUCCUUGUCAGGUAAG